CCCACCUAUUGUUCUGUUGUUCCCGAGGAGCCCUGAACGCAGCCUGAGACCGACUUUUAAAUUUACUAGCGAUAAUUUCAUGAAAGUUUUGCUAUAUUUAGCGAGUCUAUCAGUUACUGCAAAUUUGCAGUAAUAUUUACAACCUAAUGGAAGAAGCAACACAACCAGCAAAACCCCUGGUUCCACCAGGAAUAAUGAAGAAGACAGGGUACAAGAUAGGUCUGGCACAGGAAACGCCCCAUGGGGUAGAACAUCCACCUGCCAAUGAAAGCCAGUUUGCAUCAAAAAACAAAAGAACUCUCAGUAAACCAUUCACUUUGGAGUCUGAUUUAUUUGAGGUUUCAAUUGCAGAUGCAAAAUUGAACAUCAGCAUGCUGUUUACACAAUUUGCUGAAUUCUUAAGCAUUAAGGCUACCGCAGACAACUCCCAGAUGAAAGAGCUGGAGGGAAUUUUGAGAGAAGCUCAAAACCAUGAAUGCUACUUGAAGGAGAAGAAAGAACAUCUGACACAAACAUUAACUCUGAUUUCUGAAAAACUGCAGAAUGGAACUUAGAAUGUUUGACUGUAACUUACAUUUUGUUGACAUGUUUGAUAUAUUUAAGUUUUUUAGUAGAAAGUCAUUUUGAUAAGAUUUUAUAUAUUGUAACACACAAACUAUAACCAAAUUAUUAAUUCUUCAUUAAAGGAUGGCGGUUUGGGAUGUAGUCUAAAUGAAUAUGACUGAAUGUAAAUCUCUUUGUAAAUAACAUUUAACAGAAUGUUCAAGUGUUUACGUGUUUGUAGUAUUAUUUGCAAAAAUUAAAAACUUUCUAUCUAGUAAAAAAUAUUUUCAUUUUGUUAUUAAUAGUAAACCAGUAAUUCUUAUUAAUAAGAGCUCAGCUUGUUAUGUUGUAAUUUGUUUUAGCAUUAAGGCUACCGCAGACAACUCCCAGAUGAAAGAGCUGGAGGGAAUUUUGAGAGAAGCUCAAAACCAUGAAUGCUACUUGAAGGAGGAGAAAGAACAUCUGACACAAACAUUAACUCUGAUUUCACUUUCCAGUAUUCUCUCGUUCAGCUUAUCCCGUUGCCGACCCAGUUCCGUGUUCCCGACUACCGCUUCUCGUCUGAUCCUGACCGGUACUGUAAACCCCUUGUUGCUGUUGCUGAACUCUGCAUGUUACUGGAACUGUCUUAGCCUGUCGAUUUGGACUUGGAAAUCUGAGCCUCCUGUUUUUGACCCACGCCUGCUGUCAGAACCGAUCACACCUGUGCCUCCUAUACCUCAAUCCUGUGUUCAUCCGUGCAUGACCUGGACUGUCUGUGAUUAGGAAAACUGCAUUAAAACCCUUGAGCUUUACCACCUGUCUGCUGUCUCAGCACUGUGAAUUUGGGUCCGCUCUCUGCCGUUUUCCUGACAGAACGAUCUGGCCAGACUUGGACCCAGCCAGUGCUCAGCCUCCGUCCAGGUCAAUGACUGGUUUUCUUUUUCUUUUCUUACCCGUCCGUUCAGCUGCAAGUACUAAUCCCUCGCGGGAAGAAUGGAGUUUUCAUGCCCGAGUCUGCCGGUGGAUAUCCGCGGAGACCUCGAGAGGUUAACUAAGAAAUAUGCGAAAACACCCAGCCUUGAGGUCCGUCUCCGUCACGUAAAACAGGGCACCGAGUUGUUGACGGCUGAGUAUUGGUGACGUGAGUAUCCCGGAGUGCAGGCAUUCUAUUAGAGACUUCAUUCGCUGCAGAGGGAUUUGGCAUGCACUCUGCACGCAUCGUCCGCCUGUGUCUCCACAGCUACUCCUGCUGCCAUUUCAUCGCUUCACGUCUCCGUUCCUGUUGCCACUCCGGCGGUUCACGCUCCUGUUCCCGUUCCUGUCGCCGCUCUGGCGGUUCAAGCUCCCGUUCCUAUUGCCGCUCUAGUGGUUCACGUUCCCGUUCCUGUCCCCGUUUCAUCGGCUCCAGCCCAAGCCCCGGAUGCCGCCAUCUCUGCCCGCCACGCGGACCCAGUCAGGGAAACCCAGCCCGCGCCGCUCACCGCGCCUCAGCCGACAGCCAGUCGCCAGUCACGUUUCCAGGGUCCCACGUCCAGAGACCGCGGUCACAGUCUCCGACUGACUCCCUUCCCCGGCAGAGGAUUUCUCCGUCCUGCUGGCCGUCUCACGUUGAUAGCAGGCAUCCCAGACAGCGUCGUCCAGCGGAUCCACCCUCACUGCUCUUCCCCAGUGUUAUUCCUUUUUGCUCACCUCAUGAACACCAUCGAAGUGACAUUAGAUCAGAGCAAAAGGGGACAACUGUUUGAGGAGGCGGCCGCUCUCAUCCUGAGGGAACCUGCCCUGCAUGAGGCCCUGCAACUCCCUGGCCUGCAGCCAGCAGCCACACCAGUUCCUGCGUUGCAGUCAGGUUCCAGCCCAGUCAAGCCGUUCCUGUUCCUGUCGGCUCCACGGAGGACGCCGUUCCUGUUCUUGCCGCAGUUCCAGGAGGAGGUCGCGCCUGCUCCAGCUUUGGUUCCUGUCGACCUCCAGGAGAAGGUCGUUGCAGCUCCAGCUUUGGUUCCUGUCGACCUCCAGGAGGAGGUCAUUCCAGCUCCAGCUUUGGUUCCUGUCGGCCUCCAGGAGGCGAUCGUUCCAGCUUCUGUUCCUGUCGGCCUCCAGGAGGAGGUUCCGGGCUUCGGGAACACCAGCCAAGGGACCGCUCCUGGAGCUCCGGGUGGUCCGGUAGAGACCACGUCCUCUUUCAUCCCGGUGAGCCCGGACUGGUUCAGGGCAGCCCGGAGCCUGGGGUUUCCUUGGACACAGGAGCCUGCGGAGACACGUUCAUCUCUGCUCUUUGUGGUCCGGCUACGUCUGCCUCUAAACCUGGUGGCCCGGCACGGGUCACGUCCGCAGAUGCAGCUCCUGGUGGCCCGGCACGGGUCACGUCCGCAGAUGCAGCUCCUGGUGGACCGGCACGGGUCACGUCCGCAGAUGCAGCUCCUGGGGGUCCGGUCACGUCCGCAAAUGCAGCUCCUGGUGGUCCGGUCACAUCCGCAGAUGCAGCUCCCAGUGGUCUGGCACCGGCCACGCCUGCAUCGGUUCCUGGUGGCCCGGCACCGGCCACGCUUGCAUCGGUUCCUGGUGGCCCGGCACCGGCCAUGCCUGCAUCGGUUCCUGGUGGCCCGGCACCGGCCACGCCUGGUGGUCCUGUCGGGACCACGUUUGCCCCGGCUCCUGUUGGUCCAGCGUCAGCUGCGUCCAUCCCGGCUCCGCGUAUGGUUUCGUCUCCACGCCGGUCCUCGUCUCUGGUCCUGGUACCAACGUCACGUCCGUCUCGGACUCGUAUUCCGGCCUGGUGGCCUCGCCCUCAGCGCCUCCUGCCGUUUGGGUGGCGCUCCCUCAUUCAGCGCCAUCCGCCUCGGCUCCGCUGUCGUCACGGCCGCUCCCCUGGGGAUCGUCCCCUCCCGCCUACCGUUCCAGCCCAGCGGCUGCUGGGUUGGGAGAAUCUCCUGCUACCGCCCUCCACGGGAGGGGGUUUCUGAGUCUGGAGGGGUUCCUGGAAAUGUAUAUGUUUGGACCCAUGAUGGACCCUUGUUUUGAAAAAAAUUCUCCUACUCACCCACAAAGCACUUAAUGAUAAAGCUCCUUCUCAUCUUAAAGACCUCAUAGUUCCCUGCUCCCAGCAGAACACUUCGUUCUUAGGGCCUUGGGCUACUUGUGAUUCCUAGAGUAUUUAAAUGUAGAACGGGAGGCAUAGCUUUUAGCUACCAAGCUCCUCUCCUGUGGAACCAGCUGCCUCUUCAAGUUUGAGGAGCUGACACACUUUCCACCUUUAAGAUCAGGCUUAAAGCCUUCCUUUUUGAUAAAGCUUAUAGUUAGAGAUGGUUCAGGUCACUGGCAAUGAUUGUUAGUCACAGGAACCAUCUCUUAGUUAAGCUGCAAUAGACAUAGACUGCUGGGGGACUAAAUUUAUACACUGAGCUCCUCUGUUUCCUUCUACCUCUUCUGUCCAAUAACCUCCCCUCAUAGUUGUAUAUUCAACUAACCUUGUCUCUUUCUCUCCAGUAGUAUUGCUUCUCCCCCGCUCUCUCUCUCUCCUCCAUUCUGUCCUCACCUACAGGUAUCAUCGGACUCAGAGCUUUGUUUCUGUGAUGGGCAGCUGCAGAUCCAACCAUCCUGCCAGUAUCUAGUCCCUAUUCCAACUAUCCUGCCUGUGCUCUGUUGUUGCUUGUUGUAAUGGAAAAAUUUUACCUUAGUGCUAUUUCUUAUCCAACACACUCGUCAUGUGCUGGUUAGGUGCAAUACUGAACAUUCUUACACAAACAAAUAAUCUCUUGUGCCCUGACGUACAUCAAGUCUAAACAUCUGAUGUUACAUUUGACUGACUAAUAAUUUAUGAUAUAUGUUUGGCAGAAGCAACUUGAGGAUCGUGGGCUCUUUGCAUCACACCUCCGUGGUGUGUGCACUGAUCUCCCCAGCUGGUUUUUGGUUUGUUGAUGUGCACGAUCAACAUCCAUGCUUUUUAUUUGCUUUCCCCAUUAUUUUUAUUUUCUUUAUUAUUUCAAUAAAUCGCACAAAAGGACAACUCUCUCUCAUCUGCUUCCUCGUGGAAAAUUUCCACCACAGAAAUUGGCGUCUACGAACAGGAUCCGCUGCAGGUCAUCUGGACGGUGUGACCAGGGACGAUAGUCCUGAGGACUAGGGUCGCUCAGCCUCCAAACCUCUACAGCUGUUCUGAGUGGGAGGACUGCUCACCCAUCUGGAUCGCCUCUGACGAGAUCCAACAAACACAAAAUCCAACCUCUACUCGGCCCGGUGAGAGAGAUUCCGUUUUGUUGUGACUUAUCGGAGAAAAAAAAAAAAAAAAGAAAACGGGUUUGAAUUUGGUUUCAGGUAUUCGGGGUUUACUUGGCUCUGAUCAUUUGGUUUAGGGAAAGUAAGGCAAAUAACAAUUAAUUCUAAAGCAUCCCCUACUAGACUAAAACAUAAAAGAAAACAUAAUUAGGAUUAGAGGUGAUAAUAUUUCUGAAACGACUAUUUGGCAGAAAACAUCUAAAAUAUAAAAAUUAGGACCAAACAAAUUUUUUUUUUUUUAAAUUUUAAAUUUAAUAUUCGGGUAGAAAAAUUAAUUAGUCUGCCCUGGUGGCCGAGACGGUGGUUGCUAAGGGUUGGCUUGUGGAACCGAGCUUGUUUUGUCUGUACUGAGGAUACAGACCAGUGUGCAAAUCUGAGCGCAGUCCAAAGGGAGUGGACAAGAAAUAAAAAACGGCUUCUGAAAUACGGAGCGCGUUUGCAGGGGGAAGUGUUUUUGAGAUACGAGGGACCCGGGUCUUAGAGGGGCCUGACGGUGAGGGAGCACUUCCGAGAACCCUGUCGCUGAUAUGAGCGGUUCCCUUUCUACGGAGACGUCCGUGGAAGAGAAAUUUUGAGAAAAGGUUCCGGCCGGAACACAAAAAAGUCUAAGGCAGAAAACCGCCGGGACUCUGAAAGAUGGGUUCGGGGCGAUCUAAGUCUCCACCACCAGACUGCAGCAUUACAAACAUUACAAAAGUAAAAGGUAAAUAUGGUUAUUAGUGCGUUUCAUGUUUCCAUGAGUGGGAAACUGGUUAUGGGUUCAAAAGGACAAUCGCUUUGUGUAAAAGGACAUACGCACCUUAGAAAGAAAAAUUAUAUGCAAAAGAUGAGAUUUGAAAAGCAAAACUAUCAAAACUAAACCCCUAAAAGAAACAAAAGAGAGAUGAGAGUAACAGAAAAAAAGGAGAUAACAACUCUGGGGAAGAAUUGUUUGCACUCUGCCACACACACACAUACACACACCACACACACACAUAUCAUGUCAAGAGCAAACGCUCCCAUUGUUUCUGCUCUUUGUCCUAAUGCAGAACUGAGCGCGAUGAGGGUAAAUCCGGAUCUGGACUCCUUUCCCACCAUCAGCAGAAGAACCGAAGGAGAAGAAGCGCCUGACCAACAACCAGAACGGAGUGGAAGCUCUGACACCACAGCAGCUGGAGGACACAGACCCCAGCAUGGACGCCUCAGCGACUUCCACAACGUCUGCAGCCAUCACGUUCUGGGCUCAUCAGAUGAACCAGCUACUACAAGCCCUGCACCAGCAGGAAAAGACUGAAGCUUCAGAGGCCGUGAAACUGUCACACAAACGUAUGAGUCUGAUACAGACACCUGCUAAUGACAAUCAGCAAAUUAAAACAAGGACAGACAAACAGCAGAGUGAACUCCAUCUGAGAAGACGUGCUCUGACACAGACACUGGUUGAAACAACAGGAGAGGCUUCAGACGUGAUCGGCCCAAAAGAGCUGCAUGCGAGGAUCCAGGAAAGGUCUGUCAUCGAGGAACAACUGUCCCAUUGAAAGGCUUCACCCACUGGCGCUCACAUCAGACUGAUGGUUGGGGAAGGAGGAAGGUGACGGUUCCUUUUCAUGUGACGUAGAAGACGGUACGUCGUUCCACACGUCCUUCUGUGAAAACAUGAUGGAGACAGAUGCAGGACGUGGGUUCUUUUGUGAACAGAUGUCAACGGGGUGGAGACUGGUGAACGACUUCUGACCCCAUGUGACGUAUUCACCUACUUUGCAUACUUUUAGAAAACUUUUUUUAUUCUGCCCGUCAUGUGCAGCAAACAGUGAACUUGGUUCCUCCACAUUCUAAUGACACACACUACAUGCUUUUUUUUUUUUU